rnacentral:rRNA from 1 species
UACGAAGGGGGCUAGCGUUGUUCGGAAUUACUGGGCGUAAAGCGCACGUAGGCGGAUCGAUCAGUCAGGGGUGAAAUCCCAGAGCUCAACUCUGGAACUGCCUUUGAUACUGUCGGUCUAGAGUAUGGAAGAGGUGAGUGGAAUUCCGAGUGUAGAGGUGAAAUUCGUAGAUAUUCGGAGGAACACCAGUGGCGAAGGCGGCUCACUGGUCCAUUACUGACGCUGAGGCACGGAAAGCGUGGGGAGCAAACAGG